CGUCUUCGGACCAAAGUGGGGGACCUUCGGGCCUCACGCCAUCAGAUGUGCCCAGAUGGGAUUAGCUAGUAGGUGGGGUAAUGGCUCACCUAGGCGACGAUCCCUAGCUGGUCUGAGAGGAUGACCAGCCACACUGGAACUGAGACACGGUCCAGACUCCUACGGGAGGCAGCAGUGGGGAAUAUUGCACAAUGGGCGCAAGCCUGAUGCAGCCAUGCCGCGUGUGUGAAGAAGGCCUUCGGGUUGUAAAGCACUUUCAGCGAGGAGGAAGGGUUCAGUGUUAAUAGCACUGUGCAUUGA
rnacentral:rRNA from 1 species